rnacentral:rRNA from 1 species
GCUAACUCCGUGCCAGCAGCCGCGGUAAUACGGAGGGUGCGAGCGUUAAUCGGAAUUACUGGGCGUAAAGGGUGCGUAGGCGGUUAAUUAAGUUAUCUGUGAAAUACCUGGGCUUAACCUAGGCWRGWCAGAUAAAACUGGUUGACUUGAGUAAAGGAGAGGAUAGUGGAAUUUCCGGUGUAGCGGUGAAAUGCGUAGAGAUCGGAAGGAACACCGGUGGCGAAGGCGGCUAUCUGGCCUUAUACUGACGCUGAGGCACGAAAGCGUGGGGAGCAAACAGGAUUAGAUACCCUGGUAGUCCACGCUGUAAA